GCGCGGAUUGCUUUCCCGAGAUGCAAACGAACGUGACUGGACAUGGCUUGGAGCAGGAGCAAACCACCUUAACUUAACUCAAGCUGCAGAAAAUGAUCAAGACAAAAGGCGGCAUUGCAGGAACCAAAAUAAGAGCCUUGCUGGAUUCACUAAAUCAGGCUUACAGGGAGAUGGAGCUUAUCCCAGCUGACUUCAGGUGAAAGGCAGGGUCCACUCUGGAGUGUUACCAGUCCUUCACAGGACACACAGACAAGAACAUGUUGAAAGUAGACCAGAUGUCAUCUGCUGCUUGAUAAAGUAUAUUGGAGAACCAACUGCUGAACAGAAGAAAGAUUACCAGGGUGACAGCACUGAAUCGCUCCAAGAGGAGUAUUCUGCAUUCAGUGGCAGGACAUCAGCCAUUAGCCUUCACUCUGCUACUUGGAGACAUCACAAUAGUGUUGGUAUUUUCUUAUCCUUGUGUCAGGAUGGCAUUGGUGCCUUUCUGACAUCACAUGUGAGACUGUGUGCUGACUGUGGUUAGAGAAGACCAUCAAGUGUCCAUCUCCUUGUUUUGAGUGGACACAGCAGGUAGACGUUGUCCAUGCUGAGCCUCAUUAAGCUAGACAUACACUAAACCAGUGGUUCUCAAACUUUUCUCACCAAGAACCACCUCAGAAAACACUUGGCUCUCCAAGCACCAACAUAAUGACCAACAUUAAAAUACAGUAGCAUAGUAGACCUAAAUAUUUAUUAAAACAAGGCAGAGGUUUUAUUCAACACGUAUUUACCGUAUUUUUCGGACUUACCUUUCGUUUUCUAAAAAAUCGACCGUGCGCCUCAUAACCCGGCGCGCCUACUGUACGGAAUAAUUCUGGUUGUGCUUACCGACCUCGAAGCAAUUUGAUUUGUGUAC